rnacentral:rRNA from 1 species
AUGAACGCUGGCGGCGUGCCUAAUACAUGCAAGUCGAGCGAACAGACGAGGAGCUUGCUCCUCUGACGUUAGCGGCGGACGGGUGAGUAACACGUGGAUAACCUACCUAUAAGACUGGGAUAACUUCGGGAAACCGGAGCUAAUACCGGAUAAUAUAUUGAACCGCAUGGUUCAAUAGUGAAAGACGGUUUUGCUGUCACUUAUAGAUGGAUCCGCGCCGCAUUAGCUAGUUGGUAAGGUAACGGCUUACCAAGGCAACGAUGCGUAGCCGACCUGAGAGGGUGAUCGGCCACACUGGAACUGAGACACGGUCCAGACUCCUACGGGAGGCAGCAGUAGGGAAUCUUCCGCAAUGGGCGAAAGCCUGACGGAGCAACGCCGCGUGAGUGAUGAAGGUCUUCGGAUCGUAAUACUCUGUUAUUAGGGAAGAACAAAUGUGUAAGUAACUAUGCACGUCUUGACGGUACCUAAUCAGAAAGCCACGGCUAACUACGUG